rnacentral:rRNA from 1 species
CGGAGGGUGCGAGCGUUGUCCGGAAUCACUGGGCGUAAAGGGCGCGUAGGUGGCUUCUCAAGCGCGCGGUGAAAGCCCGGGGCUCAACCCCGGGUCGGCCGUGCGGACUGGGAGGCUCGAGCACUGUAGGGGCGGGUGGAAUUCCGGGUGUAGCGGCGGAAUGCGUAGAGAUCCGGAAGAACACCGGUGGCGAAGGCGGCCCGCUGGGCAGGAAGGCUCGCAAGAGCCGGCUGACACUGAGGCGCGACAGCGUGGGGAGCAAACAGGAUUAGAUACCCUGGUAGUCCACGCCGUAAACGAUGGGCACUAGGUGCUUGGGGGAGCGACCCCCCGGGUGCCGGCGCUAACGCAUUAAGUGCCCCGCCUGGGGAGUACGGCCGCAAGGCUG